rnacentral:lncRNA from 1 species
CAGCCAUUUCUGCAAAUUCUUCCAUAUUCAUAGUAUACGAUCCAAUUAUAUGUGCUGCAUAGUAAGGGAUAUAUAUAUUUUGGUCAUGUGAUAGCCAACGUCGGUUCUUUAAUCCCUUCCAGAUGAGUGCCACCAUGCAUUCAAAUAUUCCUAACUCGAUAAACUCAGGAUCAUUAGGAUGUGCCAUGGCAGUAUUCCAAAGGCCACUAAUAGGAAGAACUUGACCAUCAUCAUCCUGUGAUGGAAAUUCUCUGAAAAACUUUAGUAUGCUUGCUCUACGCUUGCUCGGGUUUACUUCCUUCAUGACACAAAAGAAGCAUCUUGGGUAUGGACAGUCAGAGAAUGCAUUAUCCAUGGUCGAAUAACUCAAAAUACAGGUCUUAACAGUACCAGAUAAUCAACUCUCCAUCAAGCUUUUACCUGAAAUAAAUACGUGAACACUGCAUCAGCUAUUGAUAUGUAAAAUGGCACCUAUUGAAUCGAUUCUCUUUGUCCCGAUUGGUUAAAGAAUUGUUGUUUCCACAACUGAAGUCAAAGGUCAAGUAUUGAAGGAUCCACCCCCACUCAAAAAAUAGGGCAUCUAUUGAACCAUACUGUAAAAAAUAUUGAUGACUUCGAAAAUUCAUAUAUCUUCUUCAUGAUUACAAUAUGUUUCUCUUUUGUCAAUGAGAAAGAUGCGAUAAUUGAUAGAAUCUAAUUACAUCGAAU